UACAGAGACCUCAAGCGUUAUCCGGAUUUAUUGGGCGUAAAGCGCGGGUAGGUGGAUAUAUUAGUCAGAUGUCAAAUCCUCCGACUUAAUCGGAGAACUGCAUUUGAAACGGUAUAUCUGGAGGAAACGAGAGAUCAAUGGAACUUAUGGUGUAGCAGUGAAAUGCGUUGAUAUCAUAAGGAACACCAAAGGCGAAGGCAUUUGAUUGGCGUUUUCCUGACACUGAGCCGCGAAAGCGUGGGUAG
rnacentral:rRNA from 1 species